UUUUCCUUAAAGAAAGCACUUUAUUUUCCAUUUAAACAACUUGGUCACAGUACAUUAUUUUACAUGAAUGGCAGUCAGUCUUUAAAUUUCCAUUUGAAAGGCCUUGUGUCUGAGGUGAUAAGAGGAUACGAAUACAAGUAUAAAAACAGUGCAAAACAUUUAGCCCACAGCCUCCAGAGUUGGCUUCAGAAAUCCCCUCUAGCGUUGCUGAGUUAAAUAGACUAGCUGUGGUUUUAAAGCUUUGCUCUUACAAGUAUGAUUUUUCUAGAAGUAAAAGAUGCCAUCAGGAAGGUUAGAGUAGUGACGAGUCACAGGCCUGACGGAAAUAGUCACAACCCCUAAAGAAGGUCUCUGUUCAACCAGUUUUUGACCUGCUGCUGCUACUACAGUGAAAAGCUUUGUGCCAACUGAAGUGGGAAUAACUAUCCAUUAGAAACAGGAUUAAAUGUAGCUGAUUUUGCAAAAAGUUUGUAUUAGUCACAACAAACAUCCACAAGAACAUACUGAAUUUUCUUCAGCAUUAAGUGAAGCUUACUUCUCAUUCACCACCUGCAUCAUGUCUG
rnacentral:lncRNA from 1 species